UGUGGGAGCUGGCUUGCCUGCGAUGCAAGCAACGCGGUCUUUGCGGAUACCGCGGCGAGGCUAUCGCUGGCAAGCCAGUUCCCAUA
rnacentral:antisense_RNA from 1 species